GCUGGAGCUUGGCGGCAGAGGAUUUGCCUCACAUGCAAAAGAUCCCGGGUUCAAUCCCUGGUGUCUGCA